rnacentral:lncRNA from 1 species
AAAUUUUGAUAAUACUGCGCACAUAUUCUCUCAGCUAGAGUCAUCAGCUUUAUCUGUGAACCUAAGUCACAAAAUCAAUUACUAACUCAAGCCCAUUUUAAGCACUGAGUUUUCUUACCACAGUUGCUGAAUCUAUGUUCAAAAGGUGUGCAAUUGUCCAUUUGUAGUAGUGAUCACAGUUUGCAUUCCAACAACAUAUUUGGUUGUUUUUAAAGUGGGGUGGGCAAAACUUUAUGUGUACAUAGUGUUACAAAAACAGGGUAAUUGUUAUUUCCCAAGUGUGAUUCCAUUCAAGGAUUUGAAACUCCAAUGCUUUAUUUCUUCAGUUAGUUUUAAUAUGAAACAUCAUCUGUCACAUUACUUGUUGAAUGAAUUUCUGAAACCAGGCUCUGGUACACUUAAACUAAGAACAACAAACAUUCAUGACACAUAGUAAUCCUCUGUAAUUGUAUAAAAUGAUACAUUGAAUAGUCCCAGGGCAGGUAGUUUUCUACAGUUAAGGCAACAUGAGUCAGAUGGCCUUUAUGCUUUAGAGAAAGGAAAGAGGUGACAACCACAAUUCUGGCUCUCUGAAACUAGGUCCAAAGAAUACCUUCAGGUAUAUAUGUAUGAACAUGCCUAGGAGAGGGAUAGCUUUUCAUCAUAAUUUAGAAUUACAUUGAAGCAAUCUGAUAGGUUAUUACUGCAUUUACUGAGCCUAUGGAAGAAACAGUGCACCAAUUAGUCGCUAAGCUUGGGCAGAGUGAAAAUAUGAACCAAAGUGAAGUAUAAGUCUUAAAAAUCACUAUUAUCCUUUAAGUAUUCUCCAAGGUAAGUGGUGCCUAUUAAGACAUCUACACAAGCCAGAGUGUGACAUAAAGACACUGGUCAUGUGGACUUUUAAAUCUGCACUUUUCCAGUUAAGUUAUAUGAUUAUAAAGCCUACAAAGAUUACCUCUCAGAAACUGUUGGAAGCAAUUCUUUCACCUUUUGAGAAAAGUGUGGAUCAUUCCAGCAGCCAUAUACAUCCUUACAAAAGCUAUGUCUACUAUCUGUUUAGUACUAUUGAGCAGGAAAAACUCGGGUAUGUGGUUGUAAGCACUGGAAUAUUCUGAAGCAUGAUAUACAUUGUAAAUAAGAUUACUUUCAGAAAUCGUUGAAUAAGAGAAUGGGGAGAAAACACUCUCCUUUACAUUGAGAAAAUAAAGAAAUCAAGCAAGACAUGCAGUUUUAGGGAUAUAGUUAAUGAUACUAUAUGUUUUAGGAAAAACUCAUUAAAUGGACAUGAAUUUUAGCUUCUAAUACUAGUGGGAAACCUCUAAAGUUUUGUUUGAGUAAGUAACAAAAAUGUAGUGCUUAUGUUUGAACAGUUUAUGAAAAUAAUAAUGUAUUAGAAAAAAUGAGUUUGUGCUGCUAGCAACAGUAUAUUUAUAUAUAUCCUAAUCAUUCCUUGUGAUGUACAUAUGUUUUGAUGUAUUAAAUAAGUGUUAAAUUUUGUUUUCAAAAAAGAAACUAUAAAUGUGUGUGGUCUAUUUGUUUUAAAGUGAUUUCUGUUUGAUUGUAAGUUUGUAUCAUAAUGAGAUUACAAGUAAUCAUUUGUGAAACUAUGAAACAACUGUGGGUGCUUGAAAUAGUGCUCACACUUAAAAUAUCUAUGCCUACUAUUUUUUUGUAGCAUGUGUUACACUUUUUAAAGUCACUUUGGGAGAUCACUGUUGGAACGUUUUUCUAACUUUGAUUUCGUUAUACUCAUACCAUUUUUCAAGGGAGAAGAAAUACUUCUAGGACAUUAUUGACCACUGUAGAGUAGUUGAGAUUACAGCUCAUUUGUUAGAUAUUACUUCUCCAUCAUUUAGUGAUAAGUCAAAUGUCUAAUGAUUUUAUGCUAUUUAUCUACCCAGAUCUGUCUAUCUGGGUUUAUAUUCAGCAUCUGAAUACUGAAUCAGAGCAAUUUUUCUGAUUCUUCAACUUCCUCAUCAGUACAUUUCAAUUUUGCUCCAUCCCCUUCUCCUUCUGAUCAACUUAUUCAUAAUAAGGUGCUAAUUAUAAUGUUAACUUCAUAUUAAUUUACCAAGAAAUAUCUGAAGUUCAUACCUUACAAAUAGGCAUUAACACGAAGUACAGAAAUCCAAAUGGAGCAAUUUCAGACACAGGGAGAUGUGGUAGAGGGGAAGACACUAUAAAGAAAUUGAGUCUUAAAGCAAUCCUUUCAAAUAAUGCAUUACAAAUGGCCAUCUACUCUGGUUGCCAUUGUGAGGAUGCUAAAUUCCAAGAAAUAGCUCUAUAAACAUGGGUGUACAUUUUCCAGAUUGUUGCUUGAGAUUUUUCUUCUACCCUAUCUCUCUUCUAACACUGGACCUAGUUUUC